CUGUCGUCAGCUCGUGUCGUGAGAUGUGGGUUAAGUCCCGCAACGAGCGCAACCCUAUCUUAUGUUGCCAGCACGUUAUGGUGGGGACUCGUAAGAGACUGCCGGGGUCAACUCGGAGGAAGGUGGGGACGACGUCAAGUCAUCAUGCCCCUUAUGUCCAGGGCUUCACACAUGCUACAAUGGCCAGUACAGAGGGCUGCGAGACCGUGAGGUGGAGCGAAUCCCUUAAAGCUGGUCUCAGUUCGGAUCGGGGUCUGCAACUCGACCCCGUGAAGUCGGAGUCGCUAGUAAUCGCAGAUCAGCAACGCUGCGGUGAAUACGGUUCCCGGGCCUU
rnacentral:rRNA from 1 species